rnacentral:rRNA from 1 species
UACGUAGGGGGCGAGCGUUGUCCGGAAUCAUUGGGCGUAAAGAGCGUGUAGGCGGCCCGGUAAGUCCGCUGUGAAAACCCGGGGCUCAACCCCGGGCGUGCAGUGGAAACUGCCGGGCUAGAGGGCGGCAGAGGCGAGUGGAAUUCCCGGUGUAGCGGUGAAAUGCGCAGAUAUCGGGAGGAACACCAGUAGCGAAGGCGGCUCGCUGGGCCGUUCCUGACGCUGAGACGCGAAAGCUAGGGGAGCGAACAGGAUUAGAUACCCUGGUAGUCCUAGCCGUAAACGAUGGGCACUAGGUGUGGGGGGAGUCGAAUCCCUCCGUGCCGUAGCCAACGCGUUAAGUGCCCCGCCUGGGGAGUACGGCCGCAAGGCUAAAACUCAAAA